AAGAUCCUUUGGAUUCACCAAGACAACUGUUUCUGAUGGCUCCACAACCAUUGCAGUUCCUAGUGAUCUGUCAAGCACAACUGUAUCUCCAGGCCUUUCAAGCAAAGCAGUUCCUACUAGUCCCACAAGCACGGCUGUUGCUACUGAUCCACAAACAGAAGUGUUCCAAAGAUGAUUCAGACAUCUCUGGUCGUACUCGAUCAGUUAAGCACAACUAUAGCUAUCGGUCCUCAGCUACUACAGUUCCUAAAGAUCUUUCAGACAGAACCGUUGUUUCAGGCCCUUCAACCUCCCCAGUGCCUACUUAUCAGUCAAGCACAGUGGUCCUCAUGCUACUGUAACCGCCACUGUCUCUACUGAUGUGUCAAGCACGACUGUACCCAAUCAUCUUUCAGAUAGUACACUCCCAACAUUACAUCACCACAACUACUCCAUCUGGCCAAUCAAGCAGUGCAGUUCACACCGAUUUAUCGAGUACAACCAUUUCUACUGCUAUUUCAAACAACGGACGCUUCACGCUGUAUCAAUCACAGCUGCUCCUAAUAGUCCUUCAAGCACCCCAGGCCACACCGAUGCAUCAAGCACAAGCACUCCUGAUUAUUUUUUUCAAACAAAGCAUUCCCUACUGAUCAACCAAGCACAACCGCAUCAUACUGGAACUUUUACCACUGCAGUUUCUUCUGGUCUGUCAAGCACAACUGCUUCUAAUGGUUCUGUCAAAACUAAAGAUGCUUUGAAUUCAUCAAAGACUUCUGUUCCUGAUGGUUCCACAACUGCUGAGGUUCCUACUGCUCAGGCAAGCACAAGUGUUCUGACAGGCCCUUCAGCCUCUACUUAUCAAUCGAGCACAAUUGUUCCCCAUGGUACUAUAAACACCAAUGAGGCUACUGAUCUGUCAAGCAUACCUGUACCUAAUCAUCUUUCAGAUACUUCAGUUUCAAACAAGAUAUCAAUGACAACUGCUCCAUCUGGCCAGUCAAGCAAUACAGUUCACACUGAUUUAUCAAGCACAUCCAUUUCUCCUGCUAUUUCAAACAAUAUAUCAAUGACAACUGCUCCAUCUGGCCAGUCACAAUACAGUUCACACUGAUUUAUCAAGCACAUCCAUUUCUCCUGCUAUUUCAAACAAUGUUCUUUUCUACAGAUGUAUCAGUCACAACUGCCCCCUGAUGGCCUUUCAGCACCACAGACCACAGUGAUCCAUCGAACACAGCUGCUUCCAAUCAGCUGGACAAUGCUGACAACCAACUAAGCACAACUGUCCACACUGGAACUUCGACCACUGUGGUUCCUAGUGAUCUGUCAAACACAACUAUUUUUAUGGUCCCGCCUAUCAGUAAAGAUCCUUUGAUUCACCAAAGACAACUGUUUCUGAUGGCUCCACAACCAUUGCAGUUCCUAGUGUUCUGUCAAGCACAACUGUAUCUCCAGGCCUUUCAAGCAAAGCAGUUCUAUCCAGUCUGUUAACUACAACAGUUCCUACUAGUCCCACAAGCACGGCUGUUGCUACUGAUCCGACAAACAGAAGUGUUCCUAAAGAUGAUUCAGACAUCUCAGGUCGAUCGAUCAGUUAAGCACAACUAUAGCUAUCGGUCCCUCAGCUACUACAGUUCCUAAAGAUCUUUCAGACAGAACCGUUGUUUCAGGCUCCUUCAACCUCCCCCUAGUGCCUACUUAUCAGUCAAGCACAGUGGCUCCUCAUGCUACUGUAACCGCCACUGUCUCUACUGAUGUGUCAAGCACGACUGUACCCAAUCAUCUUUCAGAUAGUACAAUUCCCAACAUUACAUCACUCACAACUACUCCAUCUGGCCAAUCAAGCAGUGCAGUUCACACCGAUUUAUCGAGUACAACCAUUUCUACUGCUAUUUCAAACAACGGACGUUCUACGCGUGUAUCAAUCACAGCUGCUCCUAAUAGUCCUUCAAGCACCCCAGGCCACACCUGAUGCAUCAAGCACAAGCACUCCUGAUUAUUUUUUUCAAACAAAGCAUUCCUCACUGAUCAACCAAGCACAACUGCUCAUACUGGAACUUUUACCACUGCAGUUUCUUCUGGUCUGUCAAGCACAACUGCUUCUAAUGGUUCUGUCAAAACUAAAGAUGCUUUGAAUUCAUCAAAGACUUCUGUUCCUGAUGGUUCCACAACUGCUGAGGUUCCUACUGCUCAGGCAAGCACAAGUGUUCUGACAGGCCCUUCAGCCUCUACUUAUCAAUCGAGCACAAUUGUUCCCAUGGUACUAUAAACACCAAUGAGGCUACUGAUCUGUCAAGCAUACUCUGUACUCUAAUCAUCUUUCAGAUACUUCAGUUUCAAACAAGAUAUCAAUGACAACUGCUCCAUCUGGCCAGUCAAGCAAUACAGUUCACACUGAUUUAUCAAGCACAUCCAUUUCUCCUGCUAUUUCAAACAAUGUUCUUUCUACAGAUGUAUCAGUCACAACUGCCCCUGAUGGCCUUUCAAGCACCACAGACCACAGUGAUCCAUCGAACACAGCUGCUUCCAAUCAGCUUUUCGGACAAUGCUGACAACCAACUAAGCACAACUGUCCACACUGGAACUUCGACCACUGUGGUUCCUAGUGAUCUGUCAAACACAACCAUUUCUUAUGGUCCCGCCAUCAGUAAAGAUCCUUUGAUUCACCAAAGACAACUGUUUCUGAUGGCUCCACAACCAUUGCAGUUCCUAGUGAUCUGUCAAGCACAACUGUAUCUCCAGGCCUUUCAAGCAAAGCAGUUCUAUCCAGUCUGUUAACCACAACAGUUCCUACUAGUCCCACAAGCACGGCUGUUGCUACUGAUCCGUCAAACAGAAGUGUUCCGAAAGAUGAUUCAGACAUCUCAGGUCGUACUGAUCAGUUAAGCACAACUAUAGCUAUCGGUCCUCAGCUACUACAGUUCCUAAAG
ensembl:lncRNA